rnacentral:lncRNA from 1 species
GGAGUCCCUCCCUCCCCCCGGCCCCGGCUGCUCGCAGGGGGAACGGCGUGUCCGCGGGCUGCCGUUCCUCCGGAGUAAAACGCUUCCCAAGUGAUUCCCGAGUGGGGCAACGGAGGUGGGGGGAGAACUGCCGGCAUUAUGGCUAGAGAGGAGAGAAGCCGGUCCAUGUCCUCCCCCCUCCCCGCCGUGGUCCUGGGGUGGAAGGACUCGCGUGAGCGCGCCGGGCAGCGCAGGGCGCCGGCGGAGCGUGGGUUUGCUUAAUUUCGGAGCCCACCGCCGUGACCCCGGCCCCACGCUUUCCGCGCCGUUUUGAAUGAGAGAGGCUCCCCGUGACCCGCCGAGGGCCGGAAUCAAAAGUGACUUGUCACUCAGAAUUAACAGGCGCCGCAUUUAUUCCGUAAAAUUUAAAACCCCACAAAAACUUCGCCGCUCCAGGCGAAGCGGAAGACUUGCUCGCUGCCCGCCGCCGCUCACCCCCGGGGAGGCCGGCGGCGGGCACCGGGCGCCCCCGGGAUGGGAGGGGGGGGAGGAGGGAAGCCGCUACCGCGGGGGCGGAGCCGCCGCAACUCGGGGCCCCCCAGGCCCCCUCCGCGCCGCUCCGCGAACCCUCCCGCCCGCCCGCGGCGGCGGGGCCGGGGGCCGGGGCCCGGCCGGGGGCCGGGGCGGCGGCGGGGCCGGUGCGGGGCGGCGGCGGGGCGGCGGGCAGCCAAUGGGGCGCGGCCGGGUUCGGGAGGUGAAAGUUCAGCGCCGGGGCAGGCUCGCCGCCGCCGCCGCCGCGGGGGCGCGGCGCUGCCGAUGGGUGGUCGUAAAAUUUAUUUAUUUGCUACUCGCCACUCUUUUGUCUCUCCCCCCCGCCAUCCCCCGCCCCGUCGCUUGCACCGGUUACCGGGGAGCUGUUUGCUUCCGCGGCGGUUUGCGAGCGCAACGGUUGCGGGUGACACUCGCCGCACACCCCGCGGGGCGGCGGGACAAAGUUUCCGCCGGUAGCCGCCCUCCGCCUCUCCGCGCCCCGCGGGACGGCGGGGCGGGGAGGGAAACGGUGCCGGGCCCGCCGCCCCGCUCCCCGCCGGCCCGCAAACGAAAUCGGGCGCCUUGGGCU